rnacentral:rRNA from 1 species
GACGAACGCUGGCGGCGUGCUUAACACAUGCAAGUCGAACGGAAAGGCCCUGCUUUUGUGGGGUGCUCGAGUGGCGAACGGGUGAGUAACACGUGAGUAACCUGCCCUUGACUUUGGGAUAACUUCAGGAAACUGGGGCUAAUACCGGAUAGGAGCUCCUGCUGCAUGGUGGGGGUUGGAAAGUUUCGGCGGUUGGGGAUGGACUCGCGGCUUAUCAGCUUGUUGGUGGGGUAGUGGCUUACCAAAGCUUUGACGGGUAGCCGACCUGCGAGGGUGACCGGCCACAUUAGGACUGAGAUACGGCCCAGACUCCUACGGGAGGCAGCGGUGGGGAAUAUUGCACAAUGGGCGGAAGCCUAAUGCAGCAACGCCGCGUGCGGGAUGACGGCCUUCGGGUUGUAAACCGCUUUCGCCUGUGACGAAGCGUGAGUGACGGUAAUGGGUAAAGAAGCACCGGCUAACUACGUG